rnacentral:tRNA from 2 species
UGGUGGGUCGUGCAGGGUUCGAACCUGCGACCAAUUGAUUAAGAGUCAACUGCUCUACCAACUGAGCUAACGACCC